GCGCACAUAGCUCAGUUGGAUAGAGCAUCUGCCUUCUAAGCAGAGGGUCUGGGGUUCGAAUCCCUAUGUGCGCGCCA
rnacentral:tRNA from 1 species